GGGAUAACACUUGGAAACAGGUGCUAAUACCGCGUAACCAUAGUUACCGCAUGGUAGCUAUGUAAAAGGUGGCUAUGCUACCGCUUUUGGAUGGGCCCGCGGCGCAUUAGCUAGUUGGUGGGGUAAAGGCUUACCAAGGCAAUGAUGCGUAGCCGAACUGAGGGGUUGAUCGGCCACAUUGGGACUGAGACACGGCCCAAACUCCUACGGGAGGCAGCAGUAGGGAAUCCUCCACGAUGGGCGAAAGCCUGAUGGAGCAACGCCGCGUGGGUGAAGAAGGUCUUCGGAUCGUAAAACCCUGUUGUUAGAGAAGAAAGUGCGUGAGAGUAACUGUUCACGUUUCGACGGUAUCUAACCAGAAAGCCACGGCUAACUACGUGCCAGCAGCCGCGGUAAUACGUAGGUGGCAAGCGUUAUCCGGAUUUAUUGGGCGUAAAGGGAACGCAGGCGGUCUUUUAAGUCUGAUGUGAAAGCCUUCGGCUUAACCGGAGUAGUGCAUUGGAAACUGGGAGACUUGAGUGCAGAAGAGGAGAGUGGAACUCCAUGUGUAGCGGUGAAAUGCGUAGAUAUAUGGAAGAACACCAGUGGCGAAAGCGGCUCUCUGGUCUGUAACUGACGCUGAGGUUCGAAAGCGUGGGUAGCAAACAGGAUUAGAUACCCUGGUAGUCCACGCCGUAAAC
rnacentral:rRNA from 1 species